GCCUCUGUAGCUCAGUUGGUUAGACUAAGAGCGCUGCACCGGAAUCGCAGGGCCGUAGGUUCAAUUCCUACCAGAGGAC